GAUGAACGCUGGCGGCAGGCCUAACACAUGCAAGUCGAACGAGUGGCGGACGGGUGAGUAAUGUCUGGGAAACUGCCCGCUGGCGGGGGAUAACUACUUGAAACGGUAGCUAAUACCGCAUACCAUCGGAUGUGCCCAGAUGGGAUUAGCUAGUAGGUGGGGUAACGGCUCACCUAGGCGACGAUCCCUAGCUGGUCUGAGAGGAUGACAAGCCCCACGGGAACUGAGACAGGGCCCAGACUCCUACGGUAGGGAGCAGUGGGGAAUAUUGCACAAGGGGCGCAAGCCUGAUGCAGCCAUGCCGAGUGUAUGAAGAAGGCCUUCGGGUUGUAAAGUACUUUCAGCGAGGAGGCUUUACUCGCAGAAGAAGCACCGGCUAACUCCGUGCCAGCAGCCGCGGUAAUAC
rnacentral:rRNA from 1 species